rnacentral:rRNA from 1 species
GACGAACGCUGGCGGCGUGCCUAAUACAUGCAAGUCGAGCGGACGAAUCGAAAGCUUGCUUUUGAUUCGUUAGCGGCGGACGGGUGAGUAACACGUGGGCAACCUGCCCUGUAGACGGGGAUAACACCGAGAAAUCGGUGCUAAUACCGGAUAACACGAAAUGUCGCAUGACGUUUCGUUGAAAGACGGCGCAAGCUGUCGCUACAGGAUGGGCCCGCGGCGCACUAGCUAGUUGGUGAGGUAACGGCUCACCAAGGCGACGAUGCGUAGCCGACCUGAGAGGGUGAUCGGCCACACUGGGACUGAGACACGGCCCAGACUCCUACGGGAGGCAGCAGUAGGGAAUCUUCCGCAAUGGACGAAAGUCUGACGGAGCAACGCCGCGUGAGCGAAGAAGGCCUUCGGGUCGUAAAGCUCUGUUGUUAGGGAAGAACAAGUAACGCAGUAACUGGCGUUACCGUGACGGUACCUAACGAGAAAGCCACGGCUAACUACGUG